AGCGAACGCUGGCGGCAGGCCUAACACAUGCAAGUCGAACGAACCCUUCGGGGUUAGUGGCGGACGGGUGAGUAACACGUGGGAACGUACCUUUAGGUUCGGAACAACACAGGGAAACUUGUGCUAAUGCCGAAUGUGCCCUUCGGGGGAAAGAUUUAUCGCCUUUAGAGCGGCCCGCGUCUGAUUAGCUUGUUGGUGAGGUAAAGGCUCACCAAGGCUACGAUCAGUAGCUGGUCUGAGAGGAUGAUCAGCCACACUGGGACUGAGACACGGCCCAGACCCUCG
rnacentral:rRNA from 1 species